CCCCCCCCCCCCCCCCGUGAUCCCCCUAGCUCGAGUGCGUACCUGCCCCUAAGAGUAAGAGCAGCAGGAAGGGAUGCUCUGCAGUGUGGAGGGAGGGGCACCUGCGCAGAAAGGGAUCCUUGCAAGAGCAGAGGGUGCUGGGCGCUCGGUACUGAUCCCCAAAUCUGGAAGUGGGUUUUCUCCUCGACGGUGGGAAGGACAGUGCUGGGCACUUGUGCAAACCCAUUCAAUCCAGCAGUGUCCUGAGGGUGUAUAAGCAGCCGGCGUGCAAACAAGUCCUGAAGACAGCGGGAGAGCUUAAAACAGUCAUUGAUUCCAGGGCUGGAAUAGACCUUGAGAGCUUAUCUGAGUGCAAACCUCACUCUGCGUGUUUUAUCCACAAGGCCAGCAGGACCCCCAGAAAGACAGGCUUGCUCAGGCGGUCCUUUGUUAAAUCUGAAGAGUGGUCAUGAGAGUGCUUGACGUCCUUGGUGGUUUCCUGUGCACCGGUCACCUCCAUCAGGUCGUCUUUACCGUGCAGGGAAGUGCUUCGUAGGACCAGAUCUGGUCACUGCUGUGCAAUUCCAGUCACAUGGAGAGCCCGGAGGUGUAGGACCUGGCAGUUUCAAACCAGAUUUCCUCUACAGCUCUCUGGCCCAGGUCAAACAACUGCUGCAAGUGCUUCCACCCAGUUUUUGCAGUAAUCAUGAGAUACUCUUCAUUCUCUGGGUGUAGCUGGCAAGAGUACGCCGCCAUGACCAGGGACUGGCAAAAGCGACUGCACACGAGUAGAAACAAAGCUCCCCUCUCCACAGGCGUCAGCGGGAUGACACUCUCAAACCCCGCCAGGACGUGACCUCCCACGUGCAUGGGACUCUUGCUCUCAAUCAUCAUGUACAUGAUGGUAAUGGCCGCUUCAAACACGUAGUAGCCGUAGCUCAUGUCAUCGAAGUCUAAAAUCCCAGACACUUGAUAUGCAGCAUCUCCACAGGCUGACUUACUGGACUCCACUAGGAUGUUAUGGUCAUUAAGAUCCCCAUGAUUGAGACCUAAAAGAAGAAAAACCAAGCCAUGUGAAAGCAUUGAAUUCCCCACUUCAUUGUCUUCCCAUUUCCUGUUUCUUGGGCACAGCCACUCCGAUGUGAUGAGCAGUCCGAGGUAGAGCCAAACCCUAUUUGUCCUGCAAUAAAAUAAUUUUCUCCGAAAGGGAAAAAAGAAGUUAA